ACAAUACUUAAAUGGCUUCAGCAAUUUAUUGCGAGUUAUUUCCUGGGGAUCAGUGUAUAACCACAUAAAAUAGCUUAUUAAGCUUAGUGGAGAAUAAGUUUUCGUGACUUUCCAGGGUUCAGAUUUUAAAUUCUUUUCGUUUUUUCCCAAUAUGACAUAGACUAUAUUUAUAUCUGUAUUUAAAGAUAUCUUAUGGGAGUUUAUCAAGCCGAGUAAUCAUGCCUGAUUGGUGCUGUGUUUAAAAUAGAAAGACAAGAAUGACUAAAGCGAUAAUAAGUAUAUAUAUAUAUAUAUAUAGGUGUGUGUGUUUUCAUUUUCAAAAGGAAGAGUGGGGCAUAAAAAAAAGCAAGCAACAUUACAUUGGAUAUGCGAGGAAACUGGUUCGGAUCAAGUAAGCAUCAUUUGUUUGCAGAGCGCAGAAGAACACAGAAGAAACAAAUCCACCAUCUGGUACAAGCGUUCUUUAUUCAAAACAAUGAAAAUAAUCCAAUACUUAAAUGUGUAUUUUUAGAAAUGUUGAAUGAAAACAACAUAACUCUUGCAUGACUCACAUUUGGUAUGAAACAAGACCAUUCAAAACUGAAUGAUGAAAUAUUCUUGCAAAUGUUGUUGAACUG